GUAACACGUAGGUGACCUGCCUUUUUGUUUGGGACAACCCGGAGAAAUUCGGGCUAAUACCGAAUACGCAGUUUUGAUUUGAAUAAUAAACUGGAAAGUAUGCCUCUACUUGUAAGCAUACACAAAAAGAUGGGCCUGCGGAACAUUAGCUAGUUGGUGGGGUAAUGGCCUACCAAGGCUUCGAUGUUUAGCCGGAUUUAGAGAUUGUCCGGCCACACUGGAACUGAGACACGGUCCAGACUCC
rnacentral:rRNA from 1 species